AUUGAACGCUGGCGGCAGGCCUAACACAUGCAAGUCGAGCGCGCGGCGGACGGGUGAGUACUGUAUGGGAACCUGCCCGUUAGCGGGGGAUCACUACUGGAAACGGUGGCUAAUACCGCAUACAGUCGGAUUUCCCCAUAGGGGAUUAGCUGGUCGGUGGGGUAAUGGCUUACCUAGGCGACGAUCCCUAGCUGGUCUGAGAGGAUGAUCAGCCACACUGGGACUGAGACACGGCCCAGACUCCUACGGGAGGCAGCAGUGGGGAAUAUUGCACAAUGGGCGAAAGUCUGAUGCAGCCAUGCCGCGUGUGUGAAGAAGGCUUUCGGGUUGUAAAGUACUGUCAGUCGGGAGGCGUUAUCUAAAGAAGAAGCACCGGCUAACUCCGUGCCAGCAGCCGCGGUAAUAC
rnacentral:rRNA from 1 species